rnacentral:piRNA from 1 species
UUCCAUGAUCUCUUUCCUGGUGCUUCCUGA